rnacentral:tRNA from 1 species
GGGGGUGUAGCUCAGUGGUAGGGUGUGUGCUUGGCAUGCAUGAUGUCCUGGGUUCAAUCCCCAGUAGCUCCG